rnacentral:tRNA from 1 species
GCUACUGUGGCGCAGUGGUAGCGCAACUGAUUCGUAAUCAGUAGGUCAGGAGUUCGAAUCUCCUCAGUAGCU